UAAUAAGUGUUUUAUGGCACUUUUUAAAUCCAUAUCCACCUUGUGUGCAAUGUCAGUCAAUCUUCUUUAUGGAGAUCGACCAAACAUCAACCUUUAUCUUUUAACUCUUUGUCUGAAAAAUAUUAUGAAUAAACAAUUCAAAAUA
rnacentral:misc_RNA from 1 species